GUUGUUGUUUAGCAGGUAAAGGGAAGGUACACGUCUCUUGGACUUCCUGGCCAAACCUUACUCAGUGAUUGUCAUAUCCUCGUUAAAACAUGGCCAUUAGUGUCAUUUAUCGCGUUGGGUAUUGCAAUUCAUCGUUAACACCGCGGAGUAGCUGCAGAAGGCGUUGUAGAAGGCCCAGCGCCCCCCUACCUAGGCCUCCCAUAUAUAGACCUAUGCGUAGGUGAUUUCGACAUGCGCCAGCUUGAGGUCGCCCCGUGGGGUCCUCCGCCCCAAGGGAAUGACCAGGACAUGCGCCUCCCCCUGCCAGGCAUGGUGGGGCAGAGGUGGUGGAGGUGGAGCACCGUCACACCAUGAUAACAGGUUUCCCCGUGACCCGCAUGCCGAUUUCGUUGACCAGCAGGGCGUGCAGUGCUUCUGAGAGCCCCCGCCCCAGCCCCGAGACCCGCAGGGAGACCCACUAGACUUGAGGUCCUGGUGGCACCCGACCCGAGCUACUGGUACUGCUGGUGGCUGGCGGAUGAGAUCUUCCUGACGGAUGUGGCGGCCAACUUCCUGACUGUGAGGAUCGGGGAGUGCAAGAAGCGGCCGGGGGUUUUCAAGGACACGACCGACCCAAACCAGAAUUCCCACUCGAUUAUGUGAUGUGUGGUGAUUGUGAAUAUGUCUUGACUUUGCUGGUGAAGGUUUCCAUGGCGAACAGGAUCAUACUGAAAAGAUAUUAGCAUGGAAAGAUAUUGUUGUCCUGUGUUCAUGGGAAUCCCGUAAACAAACUUGUGGGUACAGCUAUUACUGGACGCAAAAUGUUAUUGUAAAGCCUGCUGGAUACAUUUGAUGAGCAUAGAAAACCACCUAAAAAUUACAAGUCAAAACUCUGUCAUCACUUGCAGAAUUGGAAGUCCAAACAAUCUAAACUGAUACUUCAAAGGAAGCCCACAGCCUUAAGAUUACUUUAGGCAUUUGGGUUUGAGUCUAGGUGCAAAGCCAGAUUUUUAAGAAAUUUAUUUACAAAAUUGUACGGGCCAUGAACACCUCGUGUAUGACCCCCUGCUGCUCACAAGACGUACACCAAUUAACCCGGUAGCAGCGACGGGCCAGAUUUGUGGCUUUACCGUGUAGCAGCGACGGGCCAAACUUGUGCCAUGAUUUAAACCACCCAAAAUGGAUGAUACAUAAUCUGAUCACAAAUGUUUUGAUAUAUAUUAUGAAAUGGUUUGUGUGAGGGGUGAUUUUUUCUCAUUUUUCUCACUUAGAGGGACCAUUAAGAAAUAUGAUCCCUGCUGCUACCGGGUUAAAAAAAAAAAACUUCCAAUGGAGAAAAAAUAUUAUCUGGAGAAGCUCAAGAGAUACUCCUAGAGGAAGGCCAUUUCCUGAGGAGUAUUAUGCACUCUUUGUUAUGCCUGUUCGGGCAAAUACAGAUUUUUAAUGAAUAUUUUCCCACUAUAGUCUAUUCAUUUGGGCAAGGCCACUCACGGCAGCUUAGUCCCAGCAACUCCACUUCCCCCUUCUGGCUGGGUAGCUCCGAGCAGGAUGAUGUAACCUACUUGUCAUGUUAAGUAGUCAACAUAAAAUGCAUAUCUAACACAAACUGCUAAUUUCUGUUCACACAUAGAAAUUAGCAGUUUGUGUUAGAUAUGCAUUUUAUGUUGACAUUUUAAUAUUACUACUUAUGUUGACUACUUAACAUGACAAGUAGGUUACAUCAUCCAGCUCGGAGCUACCCAGCCAGAAGGGGGAAGUGGAGUCGCUGGGACUAAGCUGCCGUGAGUGGCCUUGCCCAAAGGAAUAGACUAUAGUAGUACUAUGGGUUGUGUCCAGCUCACCUGACAAUUGAAACAAUAUAACAUUUAAAAACCAUGCUAUUCCUCCUGUAUAAAAAAGAGAUGUUAUAUUUUUUUUUCCUUUUUUAGUCAUGAAAUUUCCUAUUAAGCAGAAUAUUGUUGUACACUUUGGCACUUACACGGGAGGAGGCUUUACAAACAUGUUGGUGCCCAGAUGUUUAAAAAUGCUGCUUGGAAGUCUGGAAGAGUGACUGGAAUCUGCGACUUCUCUGCUGAUGGGGGCUUCGUGGUGCAGUGGUUAGCACACUUGGCUCACAACCAAGAGAGCACGGGUUCAAUUCCCGGGCGGAGUGGAAAAAUUUGGGCAGCUUUUCCAAUACCCUACGCUCCUGUCCAUCCAACAGUGUACCAGGUAUUAAUCAGGGGUUGUGUCCCGUCUCCUGGGGUCUGUUGCCUUCUAUAAUUCCUUCCCCUUCUGUCUCUCUCCGGCAUAUGACCACAGAUGUUGCGCCCACUAAACAAAACUUUCCUUGCCUGUCUCUCGCCAACAUAUGACCACAGAUGUUGCGCCCACUAAACAAAACUUUCCUUGCCUGUCUCUCUCCGGCAUAUGACCACAGAUGUUGUGUCCACUAAACAAAACUUUCCUUGCCUGUCUCUCUCUGGCAUAUGACCACAGAUGUUGCGCGCACUAAACAAAACUUUCCUUGCCUGUCUCUCGCCGACACAUGACCACAGAUGUUGUGUCCACUAAACAAAACUUUCCUUGCCUGUCUCUCGCUGGCAUAUGACCACAGAUGUUGCGCCCACUAAACAAAACUUUCCUUGCCUGUCUCUCUCUGGCAUAUGACCACAGAUGUUGCACCCACUAAACAAAACUUUCCUUGCCUGUCUCUCCGGCACAUGACCACAGAUGUUGCGCCUACUAAACAAAACUUUCCUUGCCUGUCUCUCCGGCACAUGACCACAGAUGUUGCGCCCACUAAACAAAACUUUCCUUGCCUGUCUCUCUCCGGCACAUGACCACAGAUGUUGCGCCCACUAAACAAAACUUUCCUUGCCUGUCUCUCUCCAGCAUAUGACCACAGAUGUUGCGCCCACUAAACAAAACUUUCCUUGCCUGUCUCUCGCCGACAUAUGACCAGAGAUGUUGCGCCCACUAAACAAAACUUUCCAACUUUUUCUCUGGUGAUUUUCUGUACAGGCAGUGGUUCGGAAUGUGUACCAUACUGCCUCCAGAUAACUGUUUGAGGCUGCACCACUUCUUCCGGCCAUGGUAUUAGGGUUUCUUGCGUACUGUUUUUCCAGGCCUCUGAAAAUGGACCCAAAAUGUCAGAAUGAGUGCAUCUCUAAUGUUUAUCUCUAUGUAUAGGGAAGGGAAUUGUAUCAUAGCCUGUUAAGAAGAUAAGGUGUCUAUUGUGUAUUUCCAAGCCUCUGAAAAUGGAUCCAAAAUGUCGUAGUGAGUGCAUCUCUAAUGUUUAUCUCUUAUGUAUAAUGAGUGGAGUUUUACCAUAGCCCGCAAGGUGUUAAGAAGAGUUAUGUGUCCACUGUGUAUUUCCAGGCCUCUGAAAAUGGACCCAAAAUGUCAGAAUGAGUGCAUCUCUAAUGUUAAUCUCUAUGUAUAGGCAAGGGAUUUAUACCAUAGCCUGUUAAGAAUAUUAAGGUGUCUAUUGUGUAUUUCCAGGCCUUGGAAACUAUGACAAUGGACUGAAAACAACAUUGGAACUGGUACAAGAUAUACCCCUGAUGUCCUGUUCCUGUUCUUCCCUUGUAUAGAGAGAGAGGAGAGAAAGAACAGACAUAGUUAGUGAAGUGCUAGAGCCUUUGUUUAACCUUUCUUAUGCCUGUCUAGUGAAAAAUAAUAAUAAUAAUAAUAAUAAGAGGAAGAGAUAAUGUUAUGAGCUAUUGUGUUCUUAAGGGCUGAUUAAACUUUGCUGGUA